rnacentral:rRNA from 1 species
UACGUAGGGGGCAAGCGUUGUCCGGAUUCAUUGGGCGUAAAAAGCUCGUAGGCGGCUUGGCAAGUCGGGUGUGAAAACUCCAGGCUCAACCUGGAGACGCCACCCGAUACUGCCAUGGCUUGAGUCCGGUAGGGGACCACGGAAUUCCUGGUGUAGCGGUGAAAUGCGCAGAUAUCAGGAGGAACACCGGUGGCGAAGGCGGUUCUCUGGGCAUUACCUGACGCUGAGGAGCGAAAGUGUGGGGAGCGAACAGG